rfam:Alligator mississippiensis ScZkoYb_3, whole genome shotgun sequence.
GAAAUGGCUUUUCUAAAAGCCAAAAUCAGAUCAAAUUGAUAUUUU